rnacentral:rRNA from 1 species
UACGUAGGGUGCGAGCGUUAAUCGGAAUUACUGGGCGUAAAGCGUGCGCAGGCGAUUUUGUAAGCCAGAUGUGAAAUCCCCGGGCUCAACCUGGGAAUGGCAUUUGGGACUGCAAGGCUGGAGUACGGCAGAGGAGACUGGAAUUCCUGGUGUAGCAGUGAAAUGCGUAGAGAUCAGGAGGAAUACCGAUGGCGAAGGCAGGUCUCUGGGCUGAUACUGACGCUCAUGCACGAAAGCGUGGGGAGCAAACAGG